AUGCUUGCUGUUUGCAAGUAUCGGAAUCUGAAUGAAAAUGAAAUAGUACACUCGUAUUACUCUUCUCAAAUGCUUGCAAACACUUGGGCUGGGCAAUUUCAUCCAUAUGGUAACCAAAAUGAGUGGCCAACAUAUAAUGGACCUACUAUUGUUCCCGAUGAGAAGUUAGUAAACCGUGGGCGUCAUCAGCACAAAAGGAUCCCGAUGUACAUGGAUGAAAUGCAAGGAAGGCGAAUGGGGCACCAGGCCCGACGUUCCACAAGAGACAAUAAUCAAAUAGGCACAUCAUCUAGUCAAGGACAGAUCUCAUCGUCGAGUCGAGGAAAGAGGUUGAGUCAAGGGAAGAGCACAUCAUCCAUAGGAAAGAGGUCGAGUCAAGGGAAGAGCAUAGCAUCUAAAGGGAGGAGAUCAAAUAAAGAGAAGACCACAUCAUCUAGUCGAAAUUCUGACACUAGGAGUACCAUCUGA
rnacentral:rRNA from 1 species